UAGGGUGACCAACCAUCCUGGUUUGCCUGGGACAGAGAGGGUUUCUGAGAUGCAGGAAUUUCAGUCCAGACAAACUG
rnacentral:miRNA from 1 species